rnacentral:ncRNA from 1 species
AUUCUGGUUGAUCCUGCCAGUAGUUAUAUGCUUGUCUCAAAGAUUAAGCCAUGCAUGUCUAAGUACACACGAAUUAAAAGUGAAACCGCAAAAGGCUCAUUAUA